rnacentral:misc_RNA from 1 species
GUGAAUCAUCAAAUUUUUGAACGCAAAUUGCACUCUCUUCGGAGAGUAUGCCUGUUUGAGGGUCAGCCUAAAAAAAAUCGACAUAGUUGCUGUUAUGCGGUUACAUUCGUCGGAAAUUGGGUUAACCUUAAACUUUGGGUUUUAGCGGCUUAAAAAUUUCUUUACGAGUCCAAGCACGUUUCUAAGGUUUUAUUUUCUUAUACGUUUAAGGUAUCGAUUCUUAUUAGACGUUGCCGUUUCAUUCGAUCUCGUUCAU